rnacentral:tmRNA from 1 species
GGGCCUGUAUUGGUUUCGACAGGGAUCCGGAAGUUAUGACAGCCAUCCGUGGUCCGGGACCACGUUAAAACUCGGAAAAAAAUAAACGCUGAAGAUAAUUUAGCACUCGCUGCCUAAUGGCAGCUGUCAGCCUUAGGUCAUCCGCUGCCUGAGAGUCUGGCACCGAACAGGCGGAGCACUUUCCUUCCAAAGCUUUGAGGUCGGGAAAGAAAAUAUGAAGCUACUGAAUCUGCAAAUCUGACAGUGGAUGUGCAGAGGAGGGAAUGUCAAAACACUUGUCUGUGAUGGGAGAGGUUGUGAUGAAAGGGUUUUUGGACACGGGUUCGACCCCCGUCAGGUCCACUA